rnacentral:misc_RNA from 1 species
ACCUUGUACCAAACACUUCCUAAGAUGUGAUUCACUGAUUCUUGUGAAUACCCUUGACCUAUCAAUGGCAAAAACAUCAAACUUGUUGAAACACACACACUUAUCAAGUUCAUUCAUCCUAAUCAAGCCAGCCAUAUUAUAAUUCAUAACCAUCUAUGUCCUUGGGACUACAUUGUUUAGAAAUUUGCUCAAUGAGCAAGCGUUGCAAUUUUUUUAUGUAUAGUUUGAAUUAAAGGGCUCGGGAGUACAUGGUUAAAAACUUUCCCAACAUGCACAGAUA